rnacentral:tRNA from 1 species
GGCUCUGUAACUCAGUGGCAGAGCACUGGUUUUGUAAAUCAGGGGUAGUGAGUUCAAUCCUCACAGGAGGCU